GAGGGAUCAUUGCUGGAACGCGCUUCGGCGCACCCAGAAACCCUUUGUGAACUUAUACCUAUUUGUUGCCUCGGCGUAGGCCGGCCUCUUCACUGAGGCCCCCUGGAAACAGGGAGCAGCCCGCCGGCGGCCAACUAAACUCUUGUUUCUAUAGUGAAUCUCUGAGUAAAAACAUAAAUGAAUCAAAACUUUCAACAACGGAUCUCUUGGUUCUGGCAUCGAUGAAGAACGCAGCGAAAUGCGAUAAGUAAUGUGAAUUGCAGAAUUCAGUGAAUCAUCGAAUCUUUGAACGCACAUUGCGCCCUCUGGUAUUCCGGAGGGCAUGCCUGUUCGAGCGUCAUUUCAACCCUCAAGCCUGGCUUGGUGAUGGGGCACUGCCUUCUAACGAGGGCAGGCCCUGAAAUCUAGUGGCGAGCUCGCUAGGACCCCGAGCGUAGUAGUUAUAUCUCGUUCUGGAAGGCCCUGGCGGUGCCCUGCCGUUAAACCCCCAACUUCUGAAAAUUUGACCUCGGAUCAGGUAGGAAUACCCGCUGAACUUAAG
rnacentral:rRNA from 1 species